rnacentral:rRNA from 1 species
GAUGAACGCUAGCUACAGGCUUAACACAUGCAAGUCGAGGGACCGGCGCACGGGUGAGUAACACGUAUCCAACCUGCCCUUUACUCGGGGAUAGCCUUUCGAAAGAAAGAUUAAUACCCGAUAUAAAGGAUGGGGAUGCGUUCGAUUAGGUUGUUGGUGAGGUAACGGUUCACAAAGCCUUCGACGGAUAGGGGGGCUGAGAGAAAGGUCACCCACAUUAGAACUGCGACACGGUCCAAAAUCCGACGAGAGGCAGCAGUGAGGGAUAGUAGUCAAUGAGCGCUAACCUGAACCAGCCAGGUGGCGUGAAGGAUGAAGGCUUAUGAGUCGUAAAAUGCUUUUAUAGAAGAAUAUGUAUUAUAUGAAUAAGGAUCGGCUAACUCCGUCCCAGCCGCCGCGGUAAUAC